rnacentral:rRNA from 1 species
AGGGUGCAAGCGUUACUCGGAAUUACUGGGCGUAAAGCGUGCGUAGGUGGUUUGUUAAGUCUGAUGUGAAAGCCCUGGGCUCAACCUGGGAAUGGCAUUGGAAACUGGCUUACUAGAGUGCGGUAGAGGGUAGCGGAAUUCCCGGUGUAGCAGUGAAAUGCGUAGAUAUCGGGAGGAACAUCCGUGGCGAAGGCGGCUACCUGGACCAGCACUGACACUGAGGCACGAAAGCGUGGGGAGCAAACAGG